GUCUUCGUGGCUCAGUUGGUUAGAGCGUUGGUCUCAUAUUCAAAUAUGAUUAAACUGUUCACAGUUUGGCCAUCCAAAGGGUAUGUUCAACCGCAAAAAUUAAUAUGACAUUUCUAACACUUUCCCCAGUCGAGAGUUCGAGUCUCUCCGAGGACA